UAUUGAAGGUAAAACAAUAAUGUUGAGAAAUUUCAUCCGAAGGGAUGGGUAUAUCAUUCUAACCCGAACAUCUAGACUGUUCCCAACACAAGAAAUUGAAGUCCCUGACAGCAGAGUACAAGAGGGUAAGGCUCUUGUCAAUCCACCAGCGGCUCCUAUGGUUUCAUUGAGAGAAGCACUAAGGUCACCUCCAAAAACCAAAACAACUGUUCGCGGGAAAGUCAUUCAGGAUGAAGAAGAGCGCGACAUCCUGGUAGGAAAGUAGAAAAGUCCGACAAAGAUGAGAACAAUUUAGAUACAGGAUGAAACGGUGGACAGAGUAAAAGUGGCUUUGUGGAGAAACACUAACAAAAACGUCAGAACUGGGGAUUUCGUCAAAAUCACUUAUUUGACAAUACACACUUACCAAACAAAGUACACAACUGAAACCAGCUUCAAUUCUACCUACACAACUUCAGUUACUAAAGUCGAACCACCAACUGUACAUGUGACACUUACAGUAAUUAGUGCCUGUGCACAAGAUGACGUUACAGAACUUCUCCUCAGUGAUGACUCUGUG